GUAAAUAACAGCUAAUAUGGCUUCUAUUAAUUGCUAUGGAUAUUCCCGUGGAUUCACUGCACUGCAAUACGGGAGAUAUGAGGAGGACAUUUACUGGAGGAUAGCUGAGGAGAAGUGCCCGUACUUGGAGGUACAGCGGCCCAGACUUGCUCCCCCAGUGUUCAUAAAGGACCUCAGGAUACCUAACCCACCCCACCCGCUGCUACUGGGGGUCCCUGGAUCCAGGCGGGAUAAGCAGAAUACAGGCUGAGCACUGAGUAGACAAAAGGGGGUCUACCAAAGUUCAAGGUCAGACUGUUACUCAAAAAUUAAAAAAUUAAAAGUAUGAGGUAAUGACAGUAUUCCAGCUUCAUGUAAUCAUGCGUAAAAGUCUCAUAAAAGCCAAUUUUUUGGAUGUUUUAAUUAUGGCUGGCAGGUGGCAUAUUUCUGAAGCUUGUGACUUAAACCUCUUGUUUGUGACAAGGAUUUUUUUAAAAUACCCAUUUAUGCAAGAACGGGGCUACAUAUGAGGUUUUGUUUCUUCUGCUUUCUUGAGAAAUUCUGUGGUGGGUCAUGAAUCUGUCACUAUAUAUCUGCUGUCCUUUUUGUACUUCCUAAUAAACAGUGGUACAGACAGUCCUAUGACACAAAGUUUGGUUGUAAACAUGAAGUUUAAAUUCCAGCUUUGACGCGUCUUUUCCGUAGGUCAAGGACCUCCAUGCUACAUCAGUUACUUUGAAGUCUUGGUACAUUUACAGAUACAUCCAAAUAAAUGCGCAACAAAUAUAAGCAGGAAGUGGGACAAACUGAUCUGAUGUUUCUAUAUAUAUACUGUGUGUGUGGGUGCGUGUGUACAUAUGUAUAUAUACACACACAAAAUUUCAAAUCUGUCACUUUUAAUUCAGAUUAAUUCUUGAGAGGUUACAGCUCUCAUAAGCUGAGAUGUUUUAUCUCUUACCCAACUGUCCUUUUUUUAAUGAGAAGUGCAGCAUUCUUUUUAACCAGCAGAUAUGUUCUGCAGAUCAGUAACCAAAAAGAGAACCCAUGAUAACAGUCCACUAAACUGUAUGUCUUCUUUUAAAAAAAGGAAAACAAUUCAAGAUGUAUAUGGCUCUAAUUUAGACUGGGUCAUCUUUUAAUAAUUCUUAAGGAUCAUAAUUUCAUAUGAAAUCUGUAUGUAUGUGUGCAUUACACAUACUAUGACUCAUACAAGAGAGGAGGGUGUUAUACUCAGUGUAGAGGAAGUAACUUUCUGUAAUUAUUUACAAGAAAAGGGGAAUCUGUCAGGGUUUACUAUGUAAAGAGAGUAUGCAAUUUUCCAUCCGUCUCAAAUAAUCAUUCCUCGUUAACUUCUGGGGACUUCUGGGGUCUAGGAUAAUACAGUGGUUAAGGCAUUGGACUACGGUUUGGAAGAUCCCAGGUUCAACCCCCAUGACCAUCAAGUAAUCCCUGUUAGGGGUUUGAGCAAGGCCUUUGACCCUCAACUGCUCACAUGUAUAAUAAAACACAAAAAUGUUAGUCGCAUCAAGGGCAUCUCUCAAAUGCCUUAAUGUAAUGUAACUUUGCAUCUCUUUGCUACCUUAAAUGGGAAUCAAAGGAGUCGAGAACAAACAUGUACCAAAUAUAAGUUUUAGCAAAUACAAGCUUUAGUCAUUUUACUUCAAACAUUUUCCAGUUGUACAUUACAGUAUUACAAGGAUUGUAAGGCUUGUACACUCAUGAUUUUCCCUGAACAGUUAUUAACUGUUUAAAUUUGUGCUAAAUGAUUUACCGUUUUAAAACCAAUAGCCUGAAAAACAGAGGAAAAGGAGCUCGCCAAGCUUAAGGAUGGCAUAAUGAUAUUAUUAGCUUUAUAGUCAGGAAAUGCUUUCCAGCAGCAGAAAUUGUGGAAUUUCAGCUAGAUGAAAGAUUUGUACGUGAUUCCUUAGUACACAGUAUUUUUUAGUACACAGUAAAAUAUAUACCCCUUUGUAAUGUCCAUUUAAUUGAGAUGUUUCCUUGUGAUUUGCUGCUUGUUGUGUUUGAGGUUAUCUGAAUGUUGUACAGUGGAGGAGAGCAUAUUUUAACAGCAUAAUUUAUCACUUUGAAAUUAUCAUUAU